rnacentral:rRNA from 1 species
GAUUGAACGCUGGCGGCAGGCCUAACACAUGCAAGUCGAGCGGUAGCACAGAGAGCUUGCUCUCGGGUGACGAGCGGCGGACGGGUGAGUAAUGUCUGGGAAACUGCCUGAUGGAGGGGGAUAACUACUGGAAACGGUAGCUAAUACCGCAUAAUGUCGCAAGACCAAAGUGGGGGACCUUCGGGCCUCAUGCCAUCAGAUGUGCCCAGAUGGGAUUAGCUAGUAGGUGGGGUAACGGCUCACCUAGGCGACGAUCCCUAGCUGGUCUGAGAGGAUGACCAGCCACACUGGAACUGAGACACGGUCCAGACUCCUACGGGAGGCAGCAGUGGGGAAUAUUGCACAAUGGGCGCAAGCCUGAUGCAGCCAUGCCGCGUGUGUGAAGAAGGCCUUCGGGUUGUAAAGCACUUUCAGCGGGGAGGAAGGCGUUAAGGUUAAUAACCUUGGCGAUUGACGUUACCCGCAGAAGAAGCACCGGCUAACUCCGUGCCAGCAGCCGCGGUAAUACGGAGGGUGCAAGCGUUAAUCGGAAUUACUGGGCGUAAAGCGCACGCAGGCGGUCUGUCAAGUCGGAUGUGAAAUCCCCGGGCUCAACCUGGGAACUGCAUUCGAAACUGGCAGGCUAGAGUCUUGUAGAGGGGGGUAGAAUUUCCAGGUGUAGCGGUGAAAUGCGUAGAGAUCUGGAGGAAUACCGGUGGCGAAGGCGGCCCCCUGGACAAAGACUGGCGCUCAGGGGCGAAAGCGUGGGGAGCAAACAGGAUUAGAUACCCUGGUAGUCCCACGCCGUAAACGAUGUCGAUUUGGAGGUUGUGCCCUUGAGGCGUGGCUUCCGGAGCUAACGCGUUAAAUCGUCCGCCUGGGGAGUACGGCCGCAAGGUUAAAACUCAAAUGAAUUGACGGGGGCCCGCACAAGCGGUGGAGCAUGUGGUUUAAUUCGAUGCAACGCGAAGAACCUUACCUGGUCUUGACAUCCACAGAACUUUCCAGAGAUGGAUUGGUGCCUUCGGGAACUGUGAGACAGGUGCUGCAUGGCUGUCGUCAGCUCGUGUUGUGAAAUGUUGGGUUAAGUCCCGCAACGAGCGCAACCCUUAUCCUUUGUUGCCAGCGGUUCGGCCGGGAACUCAAAGGAGACUGCCAGUGAUAAACUGGAGGAAGGUGGGGAUGACGUCAAGUCAUCAUGGCCCUUACGACCAGGGCUACACACGUGCUACAAUGGCAUAUACAAAGAGAAGCGACCUCGCGAGAGCAAGCGGACCUCAUAAAGUAUGUCGUAGUCCGGAUUGGAGUCUGCAACUCGACUCCAUGAAGUCGGAAUCGCUAGUAAUCGUAGAUCAGAAUGCUACGGUGAAUACGUUCCCGGGCCUUG